AAAGAGUUGGGCCUCCGAGCCCGGGCAGCCUAAAGGGGAAACCCCAUGGCGCCGGGACGUUAGGGUGCAGGGGGAAACCGCUGUGCCUCCCUUUCGGAAAGGAGGAACCGGAACGAUGCG
rnacentral:ncRNA from 2 species